UAGGGAAUCUUCGGCAAUGGGGGGAACCCUGACCGAGCAACGCCGCGUGAGUGAAGAAGGUUUUCGGAUCGUAAAGCUCUGUUGUUAAGGAAGAACGAGUAUGAGAAUGGAAAGUUCAUACUGUGACGGUACUUAACCAGAAAGGGACGGCUAACUACGUGCUAGCAGCCGCGGUAAUACGUAGGUCCCGAGCGUUGUCCGGAUUUAUUGGGCGUAAAGCGAGCGCAGGCGGUUAGAUAAGUCUGAAGUUAAAGGCAGUGGCUCAACCAUUGUAGGCUAUGGAAACUGUUUAACUUGAGUGCAGAAGGGGAGAGUGGAAUUCCAUGUGUAGCGGUGAAAUGCGUAGAUAUAUGGAGGAACACCGGUGGCGAAAGCGGCUCUCUGGUCUGUAACUGACGCUGAGGCUCGAAAGCGUGGGGAGUGAACAGG
rnacentral:rRNA from 1 species